rnacentral:rRNA from 1 species
GAUGAACGCUGGCGGCGUGCCUAAUACAUGCAAGUCGAGCGAACAGAUAAGGAGCUUGCUCCUUUGACGUUAGCGGCGGACGGGUGAGUAACACGUGGGUAACCUACCUAUAAGACUGGGAUAACUUCGGGAAACCGGAGCUAAUACCGGAUAACAUUUGGAACCGCAUGGUUCUAAAGUGAAAGAUGGUUUUGCUAUCACUUAUAGAUGGACCCGCGCCGUAUUAGCUAGUUGGCAAGGUAACGGCUUACCAAGGCAACGAUACGUAGCCGACCUGAGAGGGUGAUCGGCCACACUGGAACUGAGACACGGUCCAGACUCCUACGGGGGGCAGCAGUAGGGAAUCUUCCGCAAUGGGCGAAAGCCUGACGGAGCAACGCCGCGUGAGUGAUGAAGGGUUUCGGCUCGUAAAACUCUGUUAUUAGGGAAGAACAAAUGUGUAAGUAACUGUGCACGUCUUGACGGUACCUAAUCAGAAAGCCACGGCUAACUACGUG